rnacentral:rRNA from 1 species
UACGUAGGUGACAAGCGUUGUCCGGAUUUACUGGGCGUAAAGAGCGCGCAGGCGGUCGUUCAAGUCGAGUGUGAAAGCCCCCGGCUCAACUGGGGAGGGUCAUUCGAUACUGAUCGACUCGAAGGCAGGAGAGGGAAGUGGAAUUCCCGGUGUGGUGGUGAAAUGCGUAGAUAUCGGGAGGAACACCAGUGGCGAAGGCGACUUCCUGACCUGUUCUUGACGCUGAGGCGCGAAAGCUAGGGGAGCAAACGGG